rnacentral:lncRNA from 1 species
UUUUUUUUUUUUUUUUUUUUUGCCCUUUUUCUUGAAGGGAGAUCUAUCUCUUUAUACUAGGAGAAUUCAUCAAAACCUUCGUUCUAAAGUGAGCAUGAAAUUUACAUAUUCCAUUGAUUUGAAUCUAGAUCUUAACUUGUGGAAAUGCAUAAAAAAGCGCAAUCAUGAAUUUAUGACACGAGUCACCAAAACAUAGGAGCCAAAAUCAUGGUCUUUGCAUAAUUUAUCUCUUAAAUAUGAGAAUCAAUUCCAAAACUUUUUUUCUUUUUAUCGUUUGAGGAGAUAUUUUAUUACUAUUGUAAUAUAUUUUAAUCUUAUUUUUUCGCAUUUAAUUCAGCUAAAACAUGUGUUAUCAUGGACAAUAUAAAACCGUCAACUGAGCGAUGGCAAAUUAGAGAGAUAUAAGGAUUUGUGAUUGAUAAAGUACAAUAUUUAGUUUCUCUCUUUUGUCUUUGAAAAAUUGUGGAAGACGGUGACAAAUAGAGGAAUUCGAUAAGCAUCACUAGAUUUAAUGAUAUUUGAGUAACAAAAUCUACCAAAUUGAAUGGAAAAAAUAAAGUCACAAAUUGACCCGAAAAAUUUUAAUAAUUAAUGAAAGCGAGACCUAGCUAGACAUCAAAUCCGCAUACAUACUCGGAUUGUGGUGAUUAAAAACAUUUAAUAUAUCUAAAUCAUCUUUAAUGUGUAUCAACUGGUUGCAUUCCAGCCACCUACAAUCAAACGCCAGAUAAUUCAAUUUUAUGCGUAAUCCCUCAAGAUUAAUGAGCUAAACCAAAACGUUAUCAAGGAGUCAAGUUUGGAUAAAAGAAUAUUAUUUGGAAUAAUAAUGUAGUAUUUUUUUUUUUAUUAAUUUAGUCAAUGGUUGCGUGAGGAUGGCAGAUUUAUAAUUUUGGGGACAGAACAAAAUUGGGGACACCAAACACAGAAAUGGCCCAAUUGGGAAAUACAAAGCCCAGUAGUUUCCUUAUGGGUUGGGAAUCCAGGAUAUAGGGCUGGACUUUCGGAGUUUAGCAAUUGGUCCUGGUCCAUCCAAAUUAGCAAAACCCAUUUAAAUUCGACAACUAGAGAGAACUGCUCCCUGUGCUCACAAAGCCUCGAAAACUUGUCCCAACAUUCAACAAAUUUUAGCUUCAUAAAAUAAAUCAGUACACUGAACAAGUUUAGCUUUUCAUAAUUUUUUUUUCUUUUAUUUUAUUUUUUUUUAAGCAGAAGAGGGAUGAAACUUAGGAAGCGAGGAGAGAAUAACAUCGAGCUUUUCAUAAAAUUUAUGGGACAGAUAACUUAAAUGUAUUAUACGAUUUUUUUCUCAUAAAUUUAAUCGCGUAGACUUUCUCAAAACUUUUUGAAAUGAAAAAUAGGGAGGGUUGUAGGAUUUAGAUAAUUAAAAAAAAUAAUAAAGAAAGGAAAGUCUCUGUAGCAUUUGAAAAAUAAUACCACCAAAAUUCCCUCGCUUUUUCCCCUGGGCUUUUUGUCCGUGCAACCAUGUGCAGCGCCAAUUUUGACAUCAAUGCGUGUGUGGACGGUGGAAUAUAUUCCUCACAACCAACUUUCCAGCUGGAAAAAAUGCGAAAAUUUGACUAUCUAUUUUCAUCCAUCAUUCAUCACUUUUACCAAAAUGCAUUUUCUUUUCUUAUUCUUCGAGAAUAAAAAAGAGCCAUCACCUUUUCCGCCCCCCUCAGUUUUACUUUCAACGAAGAAAUCAGAAUUAAAUUAUUAAUCCUUAAUCCUAGGUAAACCUGCUCCCUCAGUUUUACUUGCAGAGUUCUUUUCAUAGCUAGCUGAGUUGGUAUUAACAAAAUAGUUGUGGCUUAUGGAAAAAAAAAUUUUAGUGACUUUCUCUAAAUAAUUUAUUUAAGAGGCAUAAUAUAUACUAACACGCAUGUAGAAUAUUUAUAAGAGAGAAAUUUCAAUCCCAAGAUGUUCGCCGCAUUAUCUAAUUUUGAAAAAAUAUUGCUAAAUCCUAAGUUUUUUUAGUUGACAGACAAACUGAUAAUUUGUUGGCAUGACACUAAUAAUUUUUGAAAAAUUGUACGGUCUUUUUCUGAGUAACAUAUUCUUAAAUUAAGAAGAACAAAUAAGUAUUUUUGACUCUUAGAUUAUAGUAAUAGUUUGAAUUGUAAAUUAUUUGAAAUAAUUUUGUGAAGAAAGUACUGUAGUAUUUUUUUGAUAUGAUGUAUAUGAGAUAAAAAGGUGGUUGAAAAAUAUAUUGCUAAUGAAAAUAAGUCAGUAUUUGUAAAUAAAGUGUAAUAAUUUUUACAAUCCAAAAUCGUGAGAGGUUUCUUAAACAAUCAAUUUUCACCCAUCAUUCAUCGCUUUUACCAAAAUGCAUUUUCUUUUCUUUUUCUUCGAGAAUAAAAAGAGCCAUCACCUUUUCCGCCCCCUCAGUUUUACUUGCAGAGUUCUUCUCAUAGCUUAGCUGAGUUGGUAUGAACAAAAUAGUGACUUAUGAAGAAAAAAAAAUUUUAGUGACUUUCUCUAAAUAAUUUAUUUAAGAAGCAUAAUAUAUACUAGCACACGUCUAGAAUAUUUAUAAGAGAGAAAUUUCAAUCCCAAGAUGUUCACCGCAUUAUCUAAUUUUGCAAAAAUAUUGCUAAAUGUUAUUUCCUAAGUUUUUUUAGUUGACAGACAAACUGAUAAUUUGCUGGAAUGAAACUAAUAAUUUUUGAAAAAUUGUACGGUCUUUUUCUGAGUAACAUAUUCUCAAAUUAAGAAGAACAAAUAAGUAUUUUUGACUCUUAGAUUAUAGUAAUAGUUUGAAUUGUAAAUUAUUUGAGAUAAUUUUGUGAAAAAGUACUGUAGCACUUUUUUUGAUAUGAUGUAUGUGAGAUAAAAAAUGUAUUGAUGAUAAUGAAAAUAAGUCAGCAUCUGCAUCUGUAAAUAAAGUGUACUACUCCCUCCGUCCCACUUUGAUAGUCCUGUUUUUCUUUUUCGUCUGUCCCAAAUCGUAGUCCACUUUCCAAUUGAAAAAUGUAGUUGUAUUUUAAUUUUUCUAAAAUACCCUUAUUCAAUGUAAGUUGUUGUUACUAUAAACCUACUCCAUUUAAUGAGAGUUUAUUCUUUUUUUACCAUCAAUUCAAGUUCCCAUAAAGUUGUACUCUAAUUAAUGUGAGGGUAUUUUAGAAAAAAAGCUACCUAAAUUGAUUGUUCCAAUAAAGUUAACUACUUUUUCUUAAACUGUGUGAAAAAAGAAUCAGGACUAUCAAAGUGGGACGGAGGGAGUAAUUUUUACAGUCCAAGAUCGUGAGAGGUUCCUUAAACAAUCAAUUAGAAUUUUCAAUAACUUUUUGUUUUGGGAAUCUUACUCGGUGGGCCGCAGGUAGAAUACCACUAAUACCCUUUACCAUUGUUUAAUGCCUUUUAUUGGGUAAAGUGAGCGCCGAUUUCAAGCAGAGCAGCUGCUUUCCUUGCUGAUUAGAUUAGACCGCUGCAUAUUUGUCUCUAUGCUCGCAUUUGGAAGGUUUGUUCCUCAGGGAUAUAUAACACUAGCACAGGAGGAAUAACAAGCCUCUCUGCUUGAUCAAUUAGCACUAUAAAAAGUAGAAAUCCCACACCACAUUCCUCUGAGAAAGAGUGUGUGGUUUUUUGAGUGUGAGCAUUGUAGAAUGGAGAAAGCUCUGGUUAAAGUUGGAAGCAUAAAAGCAGGAAGCUUUUGGCUUACGAAGAAGGCCAAAGAAGAAUUCAACAACAUAUCUGAAGAUCUCACUGUAAGCAAGAGAACCCCUUUAAUGCAUUCUAGGCUUCUGCUUCUGAUUUUUUUUUUUAAAUCUUUUUUGGCUAUUGGGAUGGGGAUUAUCUGUAAAGCUUUAGUCUUUCUGGGAAUUUUGCUGAUGUUUGAUUUCUGGUCUAUUUGGGCUGUGCCCACUUAAUUUUAUGCUGUCUUUAGUGGUGUGGCUAUUUGAUUUCUUGAUAAAAGAUGACUGAAUCAGCUUAUUUGAUCCCUAUUAGAGAGAGCAAACUACAAUGUCAGCAAGUCAGCAGGGUUGAAUGAACUGUUUCUGGGAAAUGGAAUAGAUCUUAGUCCUCCAGAGCCUUGAGGUUGAAGGCUUGAAGACCAUAGUUAGUAGUUUAUGCAGAUUGCAAAAUGUUAUCUGCUUUAUUUUAGUUAGCAUAGCAUGAAAAAAAUCAGUGAAGAAAGUCAUUUCCAUUCUGGCCUUCAAUUGAUUCAUUGUCACUGCCCUUUUUCUUAGUUCUUGCGUCUGACACACUUGAAAUCAGAUAAGAAUGUAAACGGGUUCCAACUUAACAAAAGACGACAAUUAGAAGAAGGGACAUGGUGAUCAAUAGAGGAGGUCUGGAGAUUCUGAUGCUUCUAAUAGAUAUUUAAUACUAUAAGAAAAAUAGUUUCUUUAUUCAGCAAAAAACACAAGCUUUUCCUUGCUACUUCAGGAUGGCCAACAUUAUAAGAUGGAUAUAAAGUACUGGUAGCUGAUCAUGCAACUAAAAAGAUACGCUUCUUGCAUUUUGAGUAUCUUAUAGAAAGCACGCGAUAGCAUUAUUAUAUUAACUUACUGAAGCUUUGUUGCAGACUUUCUCAAGUACUGUUGAAGAGAAGGCAAAAUGGAUUUUCAACAAGCUAAAAGGUGAACGCUUGUAAAUCUAUUUAUUUUGUAUCGGUUGCUGUGGCAACAAAAAGUUGAAACAGCGAUGAAACACGUUAAAACCAAUAAGUUUGUGUACUUAUUUCCUUUUGAGUACCUGGAUGCAUGCGCAUAGUUGCUACAUUUGAUCUGCAUACGGAUACAGAGUGAAGUGAUGUCUUAAUCUUUUCUGGUUGAUUCUGUGGACAUCUUUGAUCCCUUCAAGAUUAAGUGGAGUCCUCUUCCAUUUGAUUGCCAAUCUUCCGUCUUCUUCAUUAUCAUUACUGAUCAAGUCUGUAAAUGGAUUUGCUCUGUUUUCUUUCCUCUUCCUUGUAAAAUUUAACCAUCCUUAGUUAUUAUGCAUGUCAAUGUUGUAUCUGCAGUGCUGCAAGUACUUUAAAUACUUGUCUUGCCAGUAAAAUAUUGUACAAUGAUUUGUAACAUGUUUGAAGAUGGUCAAAACCAUGCAAAACUCAGUUUUUGUUCUUCUUCUCUGUAGGAAAGCCUCUGAAAAGCUUGCCAGAUCUUCUUCGAGAAUACAACUUACCACCCGGUCUGUUUCCUCAGAAUAUAUCAAGCUAUGAAUUUGAUGAGUCGAAGUCCAAGCUGACUAUUUACUUGCCAACUGCAUGCGAAGUGAGCUUUAAGGACUCCUCUGUGAUAAGGUAUGCCCCAAGGGUGAAAGGCAUCCUCACGAGGGGUAAACUAAUGGGCAUCGAAGGAAUGAAGACAAAAGUGGUGGUGUGGGUUAAGGUGACAAACAUAGCUGUUGAGGGCUACAAAUCAGAUAAACUUUGGUUCACAGCUGGUGUGAAGAAAUCAAGGCCAAAGGUUGCCUAUGAUGUGCCUCAUGAUGCAAUUAGGAUUAAAGAAUUUUGAUACUAUAAUAUCUUAACGGGUCAUCAUUUCCUCCCUCCUCUUGACAGCAUUGCCAGUGUUCUUUUCCCAUUUAUCAUGGGUUAGACUAGUUUAAGUCAUGAAUGAUGCUGAGUAUUAGGUUCUGUAGCCCGUCAGUCCUUGGUGCUUUUUAUGCUGAUAUUUGGACGGAAAUAAAUGAUUGGGUCUAAAUGUAGCAAUGAUUUAGCUUUUGGAGAUGGUGAUUGGUUAAGCGGAUUCUGUUUUUAUUUGCAGAAGUUUCGAAAACUCGAACACAAGUAAAUCUCACUCGGACUCAACUCGCCCGUUUACUAUUUUGAUCCAUCCUUAAUUUUUCUAACUUGUUGGAUUAAUAUCAAGAGAAUAACAGAUCCAGUCUGCAAUAACUCGUAUACAGUUUAAUUCAAAAACAAUGCAGCAAAUCAUCCUUUUCUGGCUAAAAAAGAUCCCUUCUGAUUGACAAGCUUCUCACAAGACCAAAAAAAGGAAACGAGCAAAAAGCACAUUUGUGGCCAAAAAUCGAAUUUCAAUGCGACUUGUGGUAGUGUUAAUCUAUGGCAACAUUGAUGUAUUUACACGCAGCAAAGGAGUCCCUCUGUGUGUGUGUGUGUGUGUGUGUUCUGAUCACAUAGCAACAGCAGUGGACUCACGAAUUAUCUCGUAUACGGAUACAACAUUCUCUAUACUCAAUAAGACUAUAAUGACCCAUUCGAGCAAAUCGGACCUCCUAUUCUGCAGAACUUCUUGUAGAAAAUGAAUGUUAUGCUGCAAAAUAAAGAACCUCAUUCAGAAUCAGAACAAUGACAAUUCGCUAAAGAAAUUAACAUAUGAAAUGUUGCAACCAUAGACAUGCAUUGCUCAUUAAGUAGCAGGCUGAAAAAAUCUAACUGUAUCAGAAAUCUACUGUUUAAAAAAAAAAAUCAGAAAUCUACAGCAAAUCACACCAAUGCCUGUCUACAUUUAGAACAGAACAUUGAUCUCAUGCAUAAGUCUGGAGAUGGAAAACAGAGUGGAGAAAAAAGCAAUAGUGUAUCAGUAAGUGAUAACUAAAUAGGAACAAAGUAUCAAAAUGAAAUUCACCUCCACAAAUUUUAGCUUAAAAUUGAGGUUUCCAAAACGUUGUGUGACCUCGUAUUCUUCUCGAAGGUAUUCAUGUAUCUGAGCAUAUUUUGCGUCUCUCCAAGCAAUUUCUGAUCUGCAAAAUGAUAAGUAGAAAAACAAUAAGCCAAAUCCUGCAUAAUAAACUGAACAAAGACUGGUAGAGCUAACAAACAUUACCUGUCAAAGAGACCGACUUUCAGAAUCACAUCUGCUAGAUUUGAGUUAGCCUUCCCAACAAGUUGAAAGAGCUUCUUACGGUCUAGCGUAAAAGUUCCAGUUUUUUCCAUUCCGCGAUUUAUUUCUGUGAAUUCUUCAACCAUACCAUCCACCUAACAGAAAUACAUCAUUUACAACAUUAAUAUCAAACACCAAGACAUGGUAGUAAAAACUAACUUAAUACAUUUUAAAAAAGUUUCCAACAUAUAGAAAAGUUAAUCAACUUUACAGCAGCUUACAAGGCCUGAAUUCUUUUGUUUCCAUUAGUAUAGACAGUCCCAGAAAGUUGAUUUUAAUGAUACAUCUCAAUUAGUUUACCUGUGAAACAAAAUGGUCCAAAGCAAUGCUUUGGCCAAGCACACUGCUAAUUAUACGGAUGCUAUCAGUAUCCAGGUCUUUUAAAACAAUGCAAUCCAAACCUCCCUCCAUAUCCUUAUCCAUCAUCAGCUUCUCUUUUACAGCAUAAUCUAUUUUUGACAGGACAGGGGAACAAAUAUCAGAGAUUACUUUGCAAACUCAUUAGAUAUGAAGCAGCAAAGUACUAAGGUUAGCAGCAAUAGCAAAGGAAAUUGAUCAUAGAAAUGUGCUAAUGACUUGAGUUCAAAUCUUUCAAUCUAUUCUGCAAUUCUAACAACUCAAUUGGAGGUACAGAGGGAAUAAUAUGUUGCACGACACAGAAAUUGAUACACAUGAUUGCAUUGUACAUGGAGGAUUUUGCCCAAGACUUUCUAGGAAAUGGUCAUUCAGAUUAAGUUCCAGUCAUCAAGGUCCUAGGAAAUGUCUCAUAAACUAAUUAUAUGAUUUAAAGCCACAACGUUGUCUGCAAAAUGAAGACAAAAUUAAUUAUAAGAGCAGAAAUAUAUUAGAAUUUAUUAAUAUAAAGUGAAAAUUUCCAAAGGAUGUAAUAUUCGUGGCAGAAAGCAGGAAACUGAUAACAUAAUUAAAUCUAGAUGUGGUCUUGAAUUUGCAAAAAGCCUCUUGUAUACCUCUUCCUCGAGUUGUUUGUGUUGACUAGGGCAAAAGAAGUCCCUGCAUGAAAUAACUUGAAGAUUUAUAGCGUAAUGGCUAUUGGAACACUGUUUUCUUAAUAAACUCUGUAAUUAGAUAGGCUUAAAGGUUUAUGACUUGUUAGUGUGCGCUCAUGGGUCUGGGUACUCCAAGAAUAGAGAUGGUCAAAGAAAGCACCUAGUGAUGAUAAAUUUAGCCCCGCACAGUAGAUAAGGAUGUCCUUUCUUAUCUGUCCCACGUAAGCAAUCUGCACUCCUGCAGAUGCGAGUCCCUCUCCCUCCCAAAGUGGCAUCCUUUACAUAACCUGCUGCUGCCUCAAGAGUAUCUUGACGUUACAAAAGUUAAGAAGGAAAAGAUAGCUCCCCUGGUAAGUGCUGCACUUUUAAAGAUUAUGAAGUGAAUAUCACCACUGCAUGACUAACAAAGGAAAAGGCUUUUAGCAGAAACCUGAAACCCCAACCUUCAAGCUAGUUAACACUCUCGAUGAACUUCAGCUUUUAUUCAAACUAACCAGUCCGAAUUGCUAGCAACUCUUUGACCAUGUGAAGAAACUAGCACGCAAUCAAAGUGGGUAUAGCCUCUUUGAGUGGAAGGAAGGGGACCCACCUACUACUAUAACCAUUACCACAGAAGCUGUGGGUCCUUUCUUUCUCUGUUUAGACUAAACACGUCUUUCAGCUGUGGACACAGUACCAUUGCCACAGAAGCUGUGGACACUUCAAUCUUGGCACUGUUAUUUCAGCUGGAGUGGAAUCAGAAAUGGCUAAAACACUAAGGCCUUGGAACUACUACAGCUUACAAUGGAUAACAUGUCAAAGACAUGGGUAUAUUUAUAAAUCAAGUAAAGAUGAUCUUUUAAUCUCAUAAUUACAUAUUUUGUGAAGCUUAGGAUUGCUGUAAUUAUAUUAUUGUAGUUUAAGCAACCUGUUAAAUUAAUUCCAAGGUUGUAACCCUAUGCAACUUUAAUUAUUCCAAGUUUACCAAAGAUCCCAAAAAGUUCACAAAGAAGGAAAAAGGCCAAGUGAAGCGUAGGAUGAUUUCUUCAACCACUUAACAGAACGAAGACAUUUCAUUUAGAGAUCUUACCAUCUUUUCUCAACUCAGGAAGCAAACCAGAAGCAUAUCUUCUCACCAUUUGCAGGUACUGUUCAGCUUCAUGAUCCUCCACAUUGAACAGAACAGCAGAACCAUACUGGAAUACAAUCAUGUACUGACAGCUACUUGUGGUCUCUCUGACUUUAAAGUCCUGAGCACCAAGGGUUUUGUGAUUCAAAAUUCCAUCCAUAAAAGUCAGAAUUAGAUGGCUAUUCAUUUAUACUUGAGUUGCACAAUAGUAUCUCCUCCAGAAACCAUCAUAGAGUCAAAUAAAUGAUUUUAACAGUAAAAAUGGCAUAUUCUAUGUUAUACAAUAAAAUUAGGAAAAAUGUAAACUUCUUCACUCUCUUUGAAGGACACUUGCUCACUCGAUACCUUUAUUGCCCAGUGUCUAUACGACUUAGAGUCAAAUUUUGAAGUGUAGAACUACCAGCUAGAACUAUUUAUGUCACAACAAACAAGUAGGAGUUGAAUUAGUAUUCCCGUGCAUGUCAGGCAUUCUUUUGGGAGCAACCUGUAGAGGGAUUCCUAAUUCUUCCUCUCAGGCAAUCAAAAGUUCUCUUGACAACCUCAGACUCCUAAUAUCAACUAAUCAAAGGAAAUAAUGUCCCUGCAGUGUAGGAGAGAUGCAGUCUCUUUAUCACUUCAUUCAAAAAGAUUCACACCAUCAAUGGAACAGGCAAUAAUUAAAAGCGCCAAGUAGCCCCGGAAUAAAUAGGAUUGUGACACAUCAUUUAUCAGUUAACAACUCUUCUUACAGUCAUGUUAGAUUGAAAGUUGCAAAAUCUGAGGGCAAUGGAGUUCGUUGAGCGAGAGGUUGGAGGAACAAUAUAUCUGGAAUUCUCAGCUUGCAUGCUCUUCAGGUCAAUACUGCCAAAACCAUGAAUCUGAGAACCAGACAUUAAUAAGGAAAAACAUGCAAUUGCAUUAAUGAGAACAGAAGUGUCAGACCCAAAUAAAAUGUGCAGAGUAAUGCAAACAUUAGAGCCUCCACCAUAUUCACGAAAGCAAUAUCCAGAACACAGAAACUAAAAUCAAUUUGGAACGAAGAUAGGCAUAUGCUGAUUUAAAAGAGCAACCCGACAAGACUCGUUUUGCUGAAGAUCGAUUAGAAAAUUAAAGAAACUGAAGAUGAAAAUAAUAAUACAAUCCAUCAGCAACUCAUCAACAAGCAACAAUACCAAAUACAAACAAAUCAUUGGUGCUAAAUACAAUAUAGGACCCUGGAUCCAUUUCACCCUAUCCAGUAGUCAAUGCAAAGUAUCUUAGCCCUCGAAAAAAAAAAAGGAUAAAUGCAGGGUGACAGUCUACUACUAAGCAUGCUACCUAUGAUUAAAAUCCUGCCUGUAUGCAGUGUCAGCAACUUGAAUUUAGGAUUAUGCUCAUGCAAGUAUAUGCCAAGACAGUUACGAAGUAAACAUAACCAACGACCACGCAGCAAUUACCUUCAAAAUAUCGAUGUACAAUCAAAACACAGUUCAACUUGGACAUGUUACUGAAAAAGUACAAACUUGAUAGUUGAUCCAUCAAAAUUAGAUCAAUCCUAUUCAUCUAUCAACCAAAAAAAAAAAAAAGAUGUUCUUUCAGUCAGUUAUCCUGAACUAAUAUGCUAUCUGCACCAUUAAAUCUCCUAUAGCAAUAAAAUGGAUACUCUCCAUUCAUGCUCGCUGGUAGCCCUCCAAACCGCCCCCCCCCCCCCAACCCACCCCCGAAAAAAAAACCAUACAGACACCCACCAAGGAAAGAAGGUCCAACAUUUAUAUAUCUCAUAAAUAAGAACCCAGGAACGUCUCGAAAACCAGCUAAUAACACACGAAAAAGUCUACAAAUCACGACAAACAUAACUAAUGCUCAAACUACAAUUGCUUAACAGAAAAUCAAGUUUAAAACUUUAGAUAGUGAACGGAACCUGGUGCAAAGAAAAUAAGCUUUGAUGGGGAUUUUCCCAAUGUCCACAUAUUCCAUGGAAUCAGAGGCGGAGUAAUCAUCAAGAUCUUGAUGGGCUUUGUAAUCCAGGUCGUCAGCAUACUGGGCGGCUGCAGAUGAGGCGGCAGAAAAUGGCCUAAAAUCGAGAAUUCGAGCUCUGGAUUUUGGAAUAGAUGAAAAUCUAAAUAGUGGGUUCGGUCCUGAAUUCGUAAAUUUAGUCAAGGAGGCGAUUCGUAAGAAAUUAAAAGCAAGGGAAGCUCUCCAUCCUCCCAUUUACUACUUGAGAGGCGACGUUCCUCGGCCUUUUUUCUCGACUUGACUGUUGCUAUAUGUUAAAGUUUUUAUUCUACUUUUUUUUCUUUUUAAUGUAAUAAAGAGUUGGAAAAUUACACUUAACCCCUCACUAGCCACAGAUUAUCUUAUAUGACCAACUUUAACGCUUUAUUAUCACAUUAACCCCGUUGGUUUAAAUUGGUACAAAUGUUAUAGGCCAUCUGGCAUCUCAAUUUUUUGGCAAGUUUUUUUUUUUUUCUACAAACUUUUUAAAAACUUAAACCACACAACUUCAACAAAUCCUCCAAAGUUUUAAAAUACAUGCAGAAAAAUAUCCAAAAAUACAUAAAAAAAUUCCCUUCUAUCCUUCCUUUUUCCUCCUCCCACAUCAACCAACCGCUAUAGAAUGCUCCAUAUGGUGAUACAAAAUAUAAUGUGAUUUCAUUUAACACUCUUAAUCUCAUAAUUGUUAAGACAAAUUGGAGGAAGGAAAUACCAAAAAAAAAAAAAAUCCUUACAUGAAACAUCAAUUUCCCAAAUAUACAAACAUAUCAGAAUGCUCAUCUAAAACAUUUAAAUGUAAACAUGUCAACUUUUUUAUUCUUUGGACAAUCACAUGAUCUUUUAGUAGUCAUAUUAUAGUUAUGUUUGGCUUAACUGCUUUUGAAAUAUUUUUUAAAAACUUUACCGUAACUAUAUAUAUGAAAAUUUUUUAUUAUAAAUAUUUUUUGAAUUGUUUUUUAAAGUAUUUUUAAGAAUUUUUAAUAUAUAUUUUAGGGCAUUUUUAUAAUUUAUAAUUUUUUGGGGCAUUUUUAAAAAAUUUUUCACCACCCUUGCCACCACCUCCUCCCCGUACCCUUCCUUUCUCUUUCCUCUCCUUUUUCCUUCUUUCCUUCUUUCCCUCAACCCCAAACCCCUCUUCCACUUGCUGAGUGGUGAUUGCAACUCUAGCCAUGACUCUAGUCGCGACCUUCUUGGUUGCUAUAAGAAAGGUCGCAAGUAGAAGCCAUGAGUCGUGGCUUUUGUCCACAACCUUUCCGUCGUGACCAAAAAAGUUGGGGUAAGUUGAGGGGAGGGGGGAUUGGGGAGUGGGGAAAGGGAAGGGUGAAGGGAGAGAAGAAGGAAGGAAGAAGGAGAGUGGAAAGAAAGAUGGGGGGAGAUAGAGAGGAGAGGAAGGGAGUGUCGUGGGUGUGAGGUGGUGGUAGAGAGUGAUGGGUAAUAAUAGGUUUGUUUGGAUUGCUUCAUAUUUUCCCAAUUUUAUUUGCUUACAUCAUCUUUACAAUUUCCAAUACACCUUUUUAUCUUUCCGAUAUCUUUUUAUCUCACAUACAUCACAUCACAAAAAGUGCUACAGUAAAAAUAUCUCAAAUAAUCCCAAAUAACUUACAAUCCAAACAGACCCAAUGUUUUUUUUUUGUAUAUUUGAAAUUAUUUUUGAUAUAUUAUAUUGAUGUGUUGUUUUUUAAAUUAUUUUUAUUCAUAUGUUACUGUAAUAUUGUAUAUAAAUAACUUGUUUUUAAAAAAUUGCGUAACGCAAACGGAUAUUUUGGGUAUAUUUCAAGCAUAGCAUCCUCGUUUCCUGGUUAAGUUAAAAGGCUUAUAAAAAAAAAAAAAGGCAUUAUUCCAAUUUCUUCCGCUAAUAUAGGAGUUGGGGAGACCAAAGCCAGGGAAUUUUGCAGCAAAAUAACAGCCACAAUGGAGGAGCAGCAGCAGAACGCUCUUCGUAAAACUUCCACCUCCCCGUUUCAGUCAAAGCCAAUCCGCUGCAUCGUCAAACUUGGUAUGCAGUCUUAGUGUCUAAUCUUUCCUGAGAUCUGUGGUUUGUGUAGAUUCUAUUUGUUUAAUUACUAGAUUUCUUGGUCAUUAUCUAUAUAAUUUGCAUCCCUUUUAACUCGAUUAGCCAAGGGUCCGCAGAAUCCAAUUCGUUAGCUGUAUUAAUCCAAAGUAAGUCUCUUUUCAGUAGAUGAUUAUCCAUAAUCAUGUAAUAGCAGAGUCCAAGGUUAAUGCUCCUUCACCUUCAGAAUCUUGUUGUUUAGUUCUUGGAUUUGUAAUCUGUAGUAUUUUUGAAGGGAUAGAGGAAAAGAGUGCAGAGAAAACUGUUUCUUUUGAAGAUGAGUUCGGAUGAUAAAUAGUACACAUUUGAGGGAUUCAAGUUUUGUGAUGCUUCUGAUGCUAGGAAGCUGACAAACCAAGGACAUGUUAACUGAUUUAUGAGUUGUAAGCCGACGGCCAACCCCAAAUAAUGUGGAUAAAGGUCUUCUUUUGUUUGUUUUUUAAGUUUGGACGUGAUUAUCUUUUAUUGGAUAUUUAGAGCUCUUUACAAUUGGGAUAACCAGGAAUGAAUGCAUGUAUAAAUUGUAAUAACCAGAAAAAUAUGCAUACUGAUGCUAGUAGUGAACAAAUUCCUCCUCAUAUUUUAACAUAAUUUGCUGGUGUGAUAUUUAUCUCACAGGAGGUGCAGCAAUUACUUGCAAGCAUGAGCUUGAAACAAUAAAUGAGAAGAAUCUUGACACUGUUUCAAAACAGCUACGGCAAGUGAUCUUAUCAUGUCCGGAUUCUGGAAAAGUUCUUGGAAUGGAUUGGAGCAAGAGGCCAGGAACAUCAGAAACGCCAAGUACCAUUGAUGGAUGCUGUGAUGAAUUUAAAGUAGACUUUGAGAAAUUUGUUGUUGUUCAUGGUGCAGGUUAGUGUACAUCUUUGUUGAAAAGGCUUAUGAUUUUUCAUUUGACUAUUUGUGAUGAUCCCAUUCUUAAUUCUCAGCAAUUGAAAUUGCAAACAGAACAAAAACUACCAUUAACUGAAGUUUAAUGGAACAGUAUUGUUGUUAUUAAAAAGGCUUGCAGAUAGCUUAAAAUUUAGAUCUUCGUUUGCAGGUUCAUUUGGACACUUCCAAGCUAGCAAAUCCGGGGUUCAUAAGGGUGGUCUUUGCAAGUCCCUUGUCAAGGCUGGUUUUGUUGCAACACGUAUUUCUGUAAGAUCUAACACUUUUCUGGGAUUUUGAUAUCCAAUCAUCAUAAAGUUAUUUGGUAAAAUGCUCAGAUUUUAGAUUUUUUGUUCCCACCUUUGAUGUGCUGAAGAUAUUGACCUUGUCUGAGUAUGCUUUCCAGUGAUACUAAAAUCCAACUUAUAGCUUGACUUUUAGAAUUGGCACUCAGGUGACUUUGGCCUUCGACUUGCUAAGUGAUAACUAGAGGAAUUCACGAAAAGUCAGUUUAUUGUUCUUUAUAAUCAUGUGAUUGGCUGCUUUUUGUAUCCUUCUUCUCUAUUGUUGCUAUAAAAGAUGUUUUCAAUUAUGAUUCUUUAGAUAUUGGCUUUCUUUUGCAGGUUACAUCCCUGAAUCAUGAGAUUGUUAGGGCUCUAGCAAAAGGUGCAACUCCAAUUUAAUAUAUCAGCUACAUCCCUUUGAUGCUUCUUCAUUAUGUAUACGCCUAGCCAUUCCAGUGGUAGUUAUUCUAGCGACUAUCUACCUGCCCAUUAAAUAUGUAUAAAGACCUGAUAUUAACAUUGGAAGAUCUGCUGUGAAAUCUAUUUUUUUUGGAAGUUUGUUUGUUUUUUUUUUUUUGGGGGGGGGGGGGGGGGUUGUUGAGGAGGAGAAGGGGAGGGGUGGUUUGUAUUCUGUAGAUGUCAUCUUGAAGGCAAUUAACAAAAAUGGCAUCAGUAAAGGAUGCUAGACGGAGCAUGAGAACAAAACUAUUUCCUAUUGCUGCUGCUAGAUUUGCAUGAAUCAACUUAGCCAUCUAAUCUUCUGAUAGUUGGUCAUGUUUAUCAUAGGCAUUUGUUGAUGUUUCCAUUUACACAUGCAAUUUCUGUUGACCCAGUUUUCUUUUGUUUGUCUCGCAGAGGGUAUUCCUUCUAUCGGAAUGUCUCCAUUUUCAUGUGGUUGGUUGACGUGUGAAAGAAAUGUUAGAAGGCAAAACUUUAUUCUGUGAAUCUUUUGAUAUCAAAAUUAUUCUAGUUGUUACUUUCUCUUGUAUUUAGUUGAUUGUAGUGAAAACAGAUGUCUAAUUUUGACUUAUACAUUUAUAGAUGGAAGCAGCCAAUGUGAGUAUGAUAGUCAAGGCUUUGGAUUCUGGCUUCGUACCUGUAAGUUAAACUUAAAAUCGUGUGACUUGGACUUCUUGUCAAUAACACCUUCUGAACAUAUUGCAUUACCUUUUAGAGUUAAAUAGAAUCCUCUUUGAUUUUGAGAUGUGAGAAAUACUUUGUUGUCAAAAAAUCUGUGUUUUGUUUCCCUUUUAAAUCUAGGAAAUUCCUUAAUUGUACAUGGUCUCCUCAUUUAUAGUUGUGCUGUGUCUUCCGUAGACCUACAGCUAUAUUUAAAAUAAAGCAAUGCUAUUGUGACAACUAAUUUUAGUAACUCAAAAAUUGUUUCUCGAGUUCUAUUCUAAGAAUCUAAUUAUGCACUCUGUUAUAUAUAGCACACUGUAACAUAUGAAGUUCCUUAGUAGUUUUCUUUAUUGACAACUUAAAAUGCCCUUUAUUAGCGCAUAAAUUCUGUAUUUUAGUAAAUGUACAGACAUGCUUCUUUCUCCAACCCAGUGCUCUAGACCAGGUCACAGUUGAUGUAUGGGAUGAUAAUUGAGUGACAGACAUUAUGGUGAAUGGCCGCCAUAAGUAGUGCAUUAUGCAUUACCUCAAAAGUGUUAAAAGCAUUUGCAAUCAUGAGACAAGCGCAAACUCUACUUUAAAAAAUAAGGGAAUGAAAACAGGAUCACAUUUUUAAUGGGCUAAGCUUGUGUUUUACAAGUAAAUAAUUGUCUCGUGCAGUCAUAUUACAGUUCCUUCAUCUAUAAGAUUAUGGAUGACUCGAAUCAGAUAGCAUUUUAGUAUGUAAAAUUCAAGACUACGUGUAUCUGUUCAUAUAAUAUGAAACUCAAGAAUAAUGUGAUUUUGAUUUGAUGAAUCAGGUUCUGCAUGGAGAUGCAGUGCUUGAUACUUCACAGGUUUGACGUCUCUUCCCUGUGAGUGGCAAGGUGACUUGGCUAUUCUCUGAAUUAACUCCUUCAAUGGCUUAGGAUUGCACCAUAUUAAGUGGAGACGUAAUCAUUCGGUAUUUGGCUGAAGAACUGAAGCCUGAGUUUGUUGUUUUUCUCGUAUCCUACAUACGUUGCUCAAAGGGCUUGGCAAUAGAUCAAGCUGUUCAAAUUCGUUUAGUGCCAUUUCAAAAGCAGUUCUAAUACGUGGGGCCCAUUACCCUGAUAAUAUUGUUUCCAGUUUUUUUUUCUUGCUAGUUGACUUUUCAGUGUAUGCCCUAUACAAAGUUGACAUAGACAGAUGUCUUAGGAGUACAUGACCGCCCGCCAACUGAGCCUGGUGCAGUACUUCUCAGAGAAAUAGGUGAGCACAAGUCCAUGAUUGAGGAUAUAUUGCUCUCAUUCUCAUGUUAAAACUCAUGGGGGACUGAUCGGUCAUUUUACAACAGCUGUCGAUGAAGAUGGAAGCUGGUCGGUCGUGAAACCAAACGUACAAGAUGCAAGCAAACAAGGUUAGAUAUAAUCAAUUUUUACUGUUAUGAGGUUUUAAGUGCUUAGUUUCCUGUCUGUGGAACUGCUGGAGGAAACUCAAUUAUGUCGAGUAAUUGUUCGUUUUGUUGGAAUUUUCAUCUGGACUUUCAUUAUUAGUAAGCAUUCUAUUGCCAUCAACAGUUGUGGUAACUGUAGCAGCUCAUGAUACAACUGGAGGCAUGGUGACUAAAAUAUCAGAAGCUGCUAUGAUUGCGAAACUUGGAAUUGAUGUAUACAUUGUGAAGGUAAUAUAACACUAACAAGUAACAGCUUUUAUGCUAUUUAUAUUAAUUACAGAUUAAGGGUUUGGGAUGAUACAGGCAGCAACGGAGCACUCCAGGAUUGCUUUGAGUGGAGACCUGAAACACAAUGUUCCUGACAGCUGGCUUGGAACAAUUGUAAGACCUUUAAGACAACAGCAAUGAACUGCUGGACGCAUGAUGGAAAUUGGCGACUUGUAGAAGGGCUUUUGUCUGAACAGCAAUGCACGCCAAACUGGGGCUAUUGAAAGAAUUAAUCCCCGUUAGGAAUCAAGUAUCGGGAGGACCUGAGAUAUUUUUGUCAAAAUCGUUCUUCGUAGCAGUUGGCAAGGCUUCAUGUUUUGAAGCAUCUUCAAUUUCGUAAAUUUCAUUCUCGGGUUUAUUGGCUGCGUUGGGUUGAAUCAUCAGACAUGCUCCUUGAAACGUUAUUUUCAACAAGCCAAAACAUCUUGCUAUGCGGGGACGAUUUGGUCAACAUUGAGACAAAUAUCAAUUAUUUGAUUUACAUUUCAAUCAUCUUCAUCUUAUACUGUCCUUCCGUCCCGGAGAACAAAUAGGUGGGGAUUUUUACUUCAAACCUUCUUUCCAAACCCUGCACCUAGCUUGAGAGAAAGAAGUCCAAACGUUUUAGCGAUGUUACGAGUGCCAAUGAUGGAGUCUAACUAGUGCAGCAACUGAGCCAAUGAUAAAGCUAACAAGUAGGGCAACGCUCAGUUGGCCAUCUGCCAGGCAAAUGGAUUGUUAGGGAGCCACAACGUCAAGUUCUCAACCUUCGUUUUUCUGUCCAACUCCAAAAUUUUGGACACGGACACGGUUCCCAUUGUUCUCGUAAGCAGAUCUUCCUGCAACUAAAACUAGCUUCAGAAAUUUUAAUGCACAACAGGAUCGUCCGCCUACCUCGAAGUAUAUAAUUCAAUAAACUCGCAAUAGGAAAUACCAGAAAACAAGUGAUCCUGUACUUCAGAAGCUAUAUACGCUCAGAAGCAUCUACCCAUGCGCACAAAUACUCAAACCACAGAAAACUUGGGAGAAAAAGCUUCCAGAUAAAUCUGCAUGGAUAGAACACCAAGAAGUAACUAGGAGAAUCAAUUCAUUCACUUGUGAAACUAAAUUUCGCAACUUCACAACAGUCGAAGGUGCUACAAGUUUAUACACUUCCUUGCCAGAUUAAUUAUGGCCCACGCAGAAUAACAGAACGGGUUCAGACAGUAAUCAAACAGAAACAAGAGCUCAGAACACCUUAACAUCAAAGUGAUCUCUUAAAAACCCUGAGGCCACAUAUUAUCAAGAAUCUAGUAUAAAAUGAUUUAACGAUGAAAAG